rnacentral:rRNA from 1 species
AGCGAACGCUGGCGGCAGGCUUAACACAUGCAAGUCGAGCGGAUGUAGCAAUACAUCAGCGGCAGACGGGUGAGUAACACGUGGGAACGUACCUUUUGGUUCGGAACAACACAGGGAAACUUGUGCUAAUACCGGAUAAGCCCUUACGGGGAAAGAUUUAUCGCCGAAAGAUCGGCCCGCGUCUGAUUAGCUAGUUGGUGAGGUAACGGCUCACCAAGGCGACGAUCAGUAGCUGGUCUGAGAGGAUGAUCAGCCACAUUGGGACUGAGACACGGCCCAAACUCC